AAAUAUGAAGCGAUUUAUUGCAAUUAGUUUCGACCUAAUUUUAGGUAUUUAAAUACCCUUAUUUA
rnacentral:tRNA from 1 species